GUUCCUGACCUGAUUUGGCGGAAAAGAAAAGUGGAAAACGUGGACUGCAGGUUGAUAGUCAAGAUAAGAUUGGGUCUCUUAAAGCCUUGGCAGUUUUGCCAAAAAAGAGAAAGCUCCCUGUCAUUGAGGAUAAUGAUAGUGAAGAUGAUGUAGACUUUCAAAAAUCUUCACAUCAUAUAGAGUUGAAUGGUACAAAUUGAACAUAUUUACAUCUGUACAAUAAACUGCAAUUCUGUAUUAAAAAAAG